UACGUAGGAGGCAAGCGUUGUCCGGAAUUACUGGGCGUAAAGCGCGUGUAGGUGGUGGGACAAGUCUGCUGUGAAAGCGCCUGGCUUAACCGGGCGAGGUCGGCGGAAACUGUCCGACUAGAGGACGGUAGAGGGGGGUGGAAUUCCCGGUGUAGUGGUGAAAUGCGUAGAGAUCGGGAGGAACACCUGUGGCGAAGGCGGCCCCCUGGGCCGGCCCUGACACUGAGACGCGAAAGCCAGGGGAGCGAACGGG
rnacentral:rRNA from 1 species